rnacentral:lncRNA from 1 species
AAAUAAACUAGAAGAACAGUCUCGCUGCGUUGUCUUCUGUUGUGUGGGCAUAUUCAAAAGCCGCGCGCUUCAGUGAAACAUUUGAAUCUCAAAAGCGCGCUCGGCGCGGGGGCGUGGUCGCAUUAGAAGAUAAUGAAGGGAGACGUGAAAAACGGACAUCGCGUUGUUUUCAUAUGGAUUACUUUAUCACAGAAUAUUUGUUUUCGGCAGCACUUGUUUAGUUUAAAAGUAGACAUGUCAGGCUUUCUAUAGAUAUCUCUCUCAUGUCUCUGUGUUGAGUAUUCACGGAGUUACAGUUCAUUUUAAUGACGCGUUUGUAACUGAAGAUCAGCGCAGACAAAGGCUGCAGACAGCACUCCUUGUUUGUUAUCUUUAUUUUAUAAGUGCACAAAGUUUUGUUGUUAUUAUGUCUGUAUACAAAAAAAAGUAGACCCUUUACAGAUUCGAUUGAUGUAUUGCUCUUAUCUUGUACGAUCAAAACUAGAAGUAGUAAUUUAAGUUCUUUUCGGGGUUAUCAGGAGAAAAACCCCCAAAACGCGUAUACGCGUUAAUCUAGCCUAAGACUAUCCUAUUUUUUUAAUGGCUUUUAAGGAUGUUAUAAUGUAUAUUAUAAUGUUAUUGUUGUUUAACGUCUUCCUUUCAUUUUACAAUUACAUUCAGUUCGCAAUCCGUCCCUUUGCGCCACCUGGUGGUAAUUUCGCGAAUGAUUUUUAACACGCGACUGAUUUGCAGUUAACGCCGCGGCCCUGCGGCGGUGGUACGCGCGGCGGUAUUACCCAUUUUGGAUGUCUACCUACUGUAUGAAGCUAUAUGGAGUAUAACAGCAAAUUAUAGUGUUUGUGUGUGUGAGAGAUUCUUGAUUGUUGGUGGUUUUCCCUGUUGGGAAGAGGUAAAAUUUGUUAUUUUUACAGUUGAUCACUUGGUGGGACCAUUAACCCUUUAGAUAGGCCUGUGCAAAAAAAGCUUAGUUUCUGACUUGUAUAUGAAGCUAUAUGGAGUAUAACAGCAUAUUAUAUUGUGUGUGUGUGUGUGUGUGUGAGAGAGAGAGAGAGAGAGAGAGAGAGAGAGAGAGAGAGAGAGAGAGAGCGAGAGAGAGAGAAAGAGAGAAAGUAUCAUUAGAAGUCAGACUUAAACAAUUUGAGAUAAAACAGCAGGUAGGCUUGAGCAAUUUAGACUAUUGAACAUGUAAAGGAAGAACAUAUUGUCGCAGCCCUUGGCUUCCUUAAUAUGAGGCAGAGAGUCUCUAAGAGCUGCAAUCGUUUUUUAUUCUUCUGGAACGAGCAUAAGCACCGUGAAAACUAAAAGUAAACACACAAAUAGCUGGUUAAUAUGCCUUUGGCAUAACAAAAAUGUAUAAUUAAAUCCUUUACACCUUUUACAGUGCAUCAUCAUGCAUUUGUAUAUAUGCAAUGCACAUUAAAUUACCUUUAAAGCCAUUUAAAAUAACAACACAUAAACAAUAAUUUGCUCAGUUAACACUUUAACCUUUAAAGCCAUUUAAAAUAAGAACACAUAAACAAUAAUUUGCUCAGUUAACACUUUAACCUUUCCUGGUACAAGUGGCACAACAAAACAAUUUCCAGAAACAGUCAAUGUAGACAUUUUACAUCAUUAAAGAUUUCGGUCUUUUAAACACUGAACUAAGAAAAAAAAAUACACACCUCGCUCCGCUCACCAAGGGUGCAAACUUUAAACUUGCUGCUUCCUGAGUUAGCCGCUAGCUUGAUGGUAUCUGUGCUAAACAGCACACAAAUGUGUAGACAUAAGACAAAGCAGCUUAACAAAACAAUGUGAAAAAAGGGAAUUAUAUAAUACAUAUGUCACUGAGCUUCUGACAUGAGAGAAAUCUGACAAGUUUAACUGCUGAUCGACAAUACAGGUUUCUGGGCUCACAGCCUCAAACCCAAUCACAUAAAUGACCUGAAUGUGAAUGAAUUACCUCUAGCGACCUCUAGUGGUCACUUACACAUAUUGUUCCCCUCAAAGGUUGUGUUAAGUGUUAGGUGCUGGUGUGGAUAGAUAGAUAGAUAGAUAGAUAGAUAGAUAGAUAGAUAGAUAGAUAGA